rnacentral:rRNA from 1 species
UCGAUAAGCACCAGCAGUCUGCUGCAAGUCAACGCAUGUUUGCCUACCUGGGGACCCUGAAGUGGCGACUACAACCCUGGACACUGCUUCGAGUCGUCCCCCGCAGUUGGGGGCGGCGACGCCCGCAAUCUGGGCUGGGAGCCUCCCCCUGGAGGGUGCAACCAGCAACUCUUACUGGAGUCCACAGAUCAGACGCCGGCGGCCACUCUCGUCAGUGGUUCAGAUAUGAUCGGCCCCAGCCAUAAUCGGCUGGCGAACGUUUAUGGCGGAACCUGCGGAAGGAUCAUUAUUGAGAGGGGUCCUCGGACCCCGGGGGUUUCGGCCCCCAACUCUUCCCCCGGUGUUUACCUACCUUUGUUGCUUUGGCGGGCCUUGGGGUUCGCCCCAUCCCGGCCACGGGCUUCGCAGCCCGGGCCAGGCCGUGCCUGUCAGGGGUCCAUUAAACUCUGUUUACCAGUGCUGUCCGAGUGAAAACCACAAUAGUAAAAACUUUCAACAACGGAUCUCUUGGUUCUGGCAUCGAUGAAGAACGCAGCGAAAUGCGAUAAGUAAUGUGAAUUGCAGAAUUCAGUGAAUCAUCGAAUCUUUGAACGCACAUUGCGCCCCUCGGUAUUCCGGGGGGCAUGCCUGUUCGAGCGUCAUUGCACCCCUCAAGCUCCGCUUGGUAUUAGGCCGACGCCCCCGCGGCGGGCCGGAAAUCCAGUGGCGGUCCGGUGUGACUUCGAGCGUAGUAAAGAUCCUCUCGCUUUGGAAGCUCCACGCUGCGGGCGGCCAGAACGCCCACGGAUAUAGACGAUUGACCUCACAUCAAGUAAGGAUAUCCGCUGAACUUAAGCAUAUCAAAAAGGGGGGAAAGAA